UCCUCCACGGAUUUCCACACUUGCUGGCUGCGUUGGGACAGUGAGUUCAGUGCCAGGACAAGAGGUUGAUGCAAUCCCCUAACGGUUGACAAUUCUCUCGCUCUAAGUGCACGGGACUUGGCUUAUGGAGUAAAAACAGCAGGGGAAGAAAUGGGAAGAAAACAGCUACGACCACAAGGAUGAAGAUCCCAGUUUCUUUAAUCUACGCUCUACGCCAAAGCCUCUGAUCAGCAGACAUCCACCUGAGGACAUGUACACAACUGCGUUCGUCGUGAAUUUUUCUCUUUUAUCUUGAUGUCCAAUAUUAGGCACAGUAUUCGAUGCGGGGAAAGAGGACGAGUGAAAGCAAGUUGGCUUCAACCUCAAAGGAAGAAGAUACCCUUUGUUGAGAAGAGUUGGAAUUCAUUUUGAGAAAGGUAAAAGG